rnacentral:rRNA from 1 species
UACAUGGGGUGCAAACGUUGCUCGGAAUUAUUGGGCGUAAAGCGCACGUAGGUGGUUUGUUAUGUCGGAUGUGAAAGCCCUCGGCUCAACUGAGGAAGUGCAUCCGAAACUGGCAAGCUAGAGUAUGUAAGAGGGUCGCGGAAUUCCCGGUGUAGAGGUGAAAUUCGUAGAUAUCGGGAGGAACACCGGUGGCGAAGGCGGCGACCUGGGACAAUACUGACGCUGAGGUGCGAAAGCGUGGGGAGCAAACAGG